AUUGAACGCUGGCGGCAGGCUUAACACAUGCAAGUCGAGCGAGCGGCGGACGGGUGAGUAAUGUCUGGGAAACUGCCUGAUGGCGGGGGAUAACUACUGGAAACGGUAGCUAAUACCGCAUACCAUCAGAUGUUCCCAGAUGGGAUUAGCUAGUGGGUGGGGUAAUGGCUCACCUAGGCUACGAUCCCUAGCUGGUUUUAGAGGAUGACCAGCAACACUGGAACGGAGACACGGUCCAGACGCCUACGGUGGGCAGCAGUGGGGAAUAUUGCACAAGGGGCGCAAGCCUGAUGCAGCCAUGCCGCGUGUGGGAAGAGGGCCUUCGGGUUGUAAAGCACUUUCAGCGAGGAGGCGUUACUCGCAGAAGAAGCACCGGCUAACUCCGUGCCAGCAGCCGCGGUAAUUC
rnacentral:rRNA from 1 species